AUGGGUUCGGUGAGAGGAGUGGGUUCUGGAGAGAGGCAGUAUGGCUCCCCAGUUUCACGGGAGAUGGGGACUGAUUCCUCUACAGACAUUUGUAUCAUCCCUGUUGUCACAGUGUCCCCAGGAAGAGAGAGGACUGCGAGAUUAGGCUCAGACCCCGGUUCCAAGAUUGGGGAUGGCGAUGGGGUCGGAGAAGGUGAUGAAGGCUGGGAUUCUGAAGGGCUGUGCUCUGGGCCAGGCAGCCCUGGCCGGACAGAGGCUCCAGACCCGCCUCCCGUCUGGGGAGGGGUGGGGGUGGAGGCAGUGCGGGCCCCAGACAUGAUCUCCGUGAUAUCCUUUCCUCCCUGGUUUGGAUCUGGAAUUCGGAUUGUCUUCCGCUCCCUCUUGGGAGCAAUCUGGGGUGGCUGGUUCAUCAAAACUGGGGCGGGGGCCACACCAGUGGGAAACUGCUGCAUCCCUUGGGCUGGAUCAUAG
rnacentral:lncRNA from 13 species